rnacentral:tRNA from 2 species
GGGAGCGUUCCAGAGCGGUCAAAUGGGGCAGACUGUAAAUCUGUUGCUUCGGCUUCGGUGGUCCGAAUCCACCCGCUCCCACCA